rnacentral:rRNA from 1 species
CGGACGGGUGAGUAACGCGUGAGAAUCUGCCCUCAGGAGGGGGAUAACGGUUGGAAACGACCGCUAAUACCCCAUAUGCCUAUUGGUGAAAUGAAUUUCGCCUGAGGAUGAGCUCGCGUCUGAUUAGCUAGUUGGUGUGGUAAUGGCUCACCAAGGCUUCGAUCAGUAGCUGGUCUGAGAGGAUGAUCAGCCACACUGGGACUGAGACACGGCCCAGACUCCUACGGGAGGCAGCAGUGGGGAAUUUUCCGCAAUGGGCGAAAGCCUGACGGAGCAACGCCGCGUGAGGGACGAAGGCCUCUGGGCUGUAAACCUCUUUUCUAAGGAAGAAGAUAUGACGGUACUUGAGGGAUAAGCCACGGCUAAUUCCGUGCCAGCAGCCGCGGUAAUACGGGAGUGGCAAGCGUUAUCCGGAAUUAUUGGGCGUAAAGCGUCCGCAGGCGGCUUUUCAAGUCUGCUGUUAAAGCGUGGAGCUUAACUCCAUCAUGGCAGUGGAAACUGAAAGGCUUGAGUAUGGUAGGGGCAGAGGGAAUUCCCGGUGUAGCGGUGAAAUGCGUAGAUAUCGGGAAGAACACCAGUGGCGAAGGCGCUCUGCUGGGCCAUUACUGACGCUCAUGGACGAAAGCCAGGGGAGCGAAAGGGAUUAGAUACCCCAGUAGUC